GUGCUGUUGACUGUUGUGUGUAGUGUUGCAGCUUGUGUCUAGAAUUUGAUAAUAAUUUGACCAUAAUUAACAGACAACUUGGUUGGAACCCAAAGACAUCCCUAUGGGACUUGCUUGAAUCCACACUCACAUACCAACAUAGGACAUAUGCUGAGGCUGUCAAGCAGGCAAUGUCAAAGACAACUGCAAAUUGAAUGAAGUCAGGAACAGAGCUUUACUGUAUGCUUCAUGUUGGCAGGCUUUCAUAUUCUUUUGAAGAAUCUUCAUCUACUCGGUUUGACUUCAUCCACGUUAUUCUUUUUGUCAUCCACUUCAUGCAAAGGUCAUGGCCAUAAACAUCAUGUUUUCGUGUCAUAUGUAGUGUAAUGCCAUUAAAGCCUUAGCUACAACAGUUUUCGACACAUUAGUCAAAGGAAGCCUGCAAUCUGCUCAUAGAAGUUUUGUUGUCAUUAUAUUAUCAUUCUUCGGUAUGGAAGUAUGUUGUAUCAUUCCACUGAGAUUUUCCUAAUCUAUUACUUUAUUUGUUUGAUUAAACUGUCCUUUUACUUUAUUGUCUAUGUUAGAUAAUGUUAAUCUCCCAAGUACUUGUUUUUACAAUAUAUAUGACUUCUCCAAUUUUCUGUA